rnacentral:misc_RNA from 1 species
AGCAGCCGCGGUAAUUCCAGCUCCAAUAGCGUAUAUUAAAGUUGUUGCAGUUAAAAGCUCGUAGUUGAAUUUCGGGAUCAAUUAGUCGGUCGUGCCUCUGGUACGUACUGGUUUUAUUGGUUCCUCCCUUCUGACGAAACAUGAUGUCAUUAAUUUGGUGUCGUGGAGAAUCAGGACUGUUACCUUGAAAAAUUAGAGUGUUUAUAGCAGGCUAACGCUUGAAUACAUUAGCAUGGAAUAAUGAAAUAGGACGUUCGACCCUAUUUUGUUGGUUUCUAGGAUCGACGUAAUGAUUAAUAGGGAUAGUUGGGGGCAUUAGUAUUCAAUUGUCAGAGGUGAAAUUCUUGGAUUUAUUGAAGACUAACUACUGCGAAAGCAUUUGCCAAGGAUGUUUUCAUUAAUCAAGAACGAAAGUUAGGGAUCGAAGACGAUCAGAUACCGUCGUAGUCUUAACCAUAAACUAUGCCGACUAGGGAUC